AACAACCUACGGGGGGCAGCAGUAGGGAAUAUUGCUCAAUGGGGGAAACCCUGAAGCAGCAACGCCGCGUGGAGGAUGAAGGUUUUCGGAUUGUAAACUCCUUUUGUUAGAGAAGAUAAUGACGGUAUCUAACGAAUAAGCCACGGCUAACUACGUGCCAGCAGCCGCGGUAAUACGUAGGUGGCAAGCGUUGUCCGGAUUUACUGGGUGUAAAGGGCGUGCAGCCGGGCCGACAAGUCAGAUGUGAAAUCCGCGGGCUUAACCCGCGAACUGCAUUUGAAACUAUUGGUCUUGAGUACCGGAGG
rnacentral:rRNA from 1 species